UACGUAAGUGGCGAGCGUUAUCCGGAAUUACUGGGCGUAAAGCGUGCGUAGGCGGUUUAGUGUGUGGGAUUUGAAAGCCCGGGGCUCAACUCCGGAUCCGGAUCCCAAACUGCUAGACUCGAGAGUAUCAGAGGAGAGCGGAAUUCCCGGUGUAGCGGUAAUAUGCGUAGAUAUCGGGAGGAACACCAGUGGCGAAGGCGGCUCUCUGGGGUAUUUCUGACGCUGG
rnacentral:rRNA from 1 species